CCUACGGGAGGCUGCAGUGGGGAAUAUUGGACAAUGGGGGCAACCCUGAUCCAGCCAUGCCGCGUGUGUGAAGAAGGCCCUCGGGUUGUAAAGCACUUUCAGUGAGGAAGAACGCCUGGUGGUUAAUACCCAUCAGGAAAGACAUCACUCACAGAAGAAGCACCGGCUAACUCCGUGCCAGCAGCCGCGGUAAUACGGAGGGUGCGAGCGUUAAUCGGAAUUACUGGGCGUAAAGCGCGCGUAGGUGGCUUGAUAAGCCGGUUGUGAAAGCCCCGGGCUCAACCUGGGAACGGCAUCCGGAACUGUCAAGCUAGAGUGCAGGAGAGGAAGGUAGAAUUCCCGGUGUAGCGGUGAAAUGCGUAGAGAUCGGGAGGAAUACCAGUGGCGAAGGUGGCCUUCUGGACUGACACUGACACUGAGGUGCGAAAGCGUGGGUAGCAAACAGGAUUAGAUACCCCUGUAGUC
rnacentral:rRNA from 1 species